ensembl:lncRNA
CCGUGCAUUAAUCUGCUUCAGCUAUUUGAUGUUCUGCAUGUGAAUGUGGAAAUAUCUUCAUCAGCCGAGGUAGUCAAUAGGGAUGUUGGGAUGCCACGAAGGUCCAGAGGAAAGGUUACAGGAGGUCAUGUAGAACGACUUUCUGUGACAGCGGCCUCAGAUCCCCCUCCUCUCUAGACACGGCCACGCUAAACAAUAGCCAGCAAGGAAAUUAAACACAAACAAAGUCCCCGUGGCAACUCCAGCGUCACCACAGCAGAUUCUCUCAUCACCACGGAUACUGAAACUUCAAAGAAGAUGACCUCACACUCAGACAUCAACACAGCCUUGUUAUACACUUACAAUGGACCACAGGAGAACAAUGACUUUUAAUGUGUUGAAUAUGUUUUAAAGGCGGACUGAAAAGAGGCGUAAUCUCCAAGGGAAAAUGGUGCAAAAGCAGAGAGAAGAUUUAAGUAAAUGACUAUGUCAGCCUCUAUUUAUUUGUUACAUGACUGCCGGAGGCAGAGCCUGAGGGUAACCAUUAGGACUUGGACCAUAAAGGAGUCAAAUGCAGAGCUAUUGCUGAAAAUGGAUAUUAAGUAAGCAGUCGGACAUGGAAAGGAUAUGACUCCCUCUUCUGUCUUGAGGCCAAUAGAGGAAGAAGGCUGCCCGGUUUACUCACUACAGAUAGAGUGAGGGCGCAAAAAGGCGUUUGAGGAGAUUAUGCUAAAAAAGCGACCGGGUGAAAGGGGUGGAGCAGAGACACAAACAAAGACUGAAGAGA